ensembl:ncRNA C24H12.13 ncRNA
UAGAAAUUUGGGUCUGCUAGACUACAAACUACAAAUUCUAUUUAGCAGACCAAAGUUAUUUAUUU